CUUAAACUAAUAAAAUUGUUCAACAACUUCUAACAUUGUGAAAUCAUGAAUUCUUAAAGGGGUUUUGGAAUUUACAUUGAAAUUGCAUUAUGCAUUCUUUAGUGACACUAUUAUUUUGGUCUUUAGGCCUUUCCCCCGAAUUGAUUUGUAAUCUUAUUUAUAUAUGUAUGUGUUUAAAGUUGAUAAUUGAAUUGAGAGAGUGACAAUUUACG
rnacentral:lncRNA from 1 species